CUUCAGAAUGGACGAAUGGUUACCAUUUUACAGGUAGGUUACUCAGAAUUAUUGAGUUAAUGACCGAAUAUGGUAAGUAAGUACUUAUCUUUUAAUAUUUUUGCGAGGUAUCUAGACUUCCAGCUAGGCAACUUUGGAUUAGUGGUGCUCUCUGUAAGAUCUAUUACGAAUGUAUUUGAAAUGCCUCCUUCACGCAGCACAUUUUUUCUUGAAAAUUAUAUGCUCUAUCAAUACUUCCUGAUACGUAAAUUUUUCGAAGUUGAGAAAGUAGGUAGGUACUGUUGAACUGGAAGGAGGAAGGUAAACUGUGAGAGUUGAAGGAAGUUUUGAGUCUUAAUCUUUUGAAACACAAGGUGAUUCAUUUUUUUUUUUUUUCAAAUUCCAGAUUUCAACUUAUUAAUACAGUGUAGAUUUGUGAAUCAUUUAGAUACCCUAAUCAUGCAACUCACAAUGUUUCUGGCAAGAUUUUGAAAUCGAUUUGGAACCCACGUAAAAAAAAAACUAAUUUUGGAGGCAGCUCAAAAUUUAGUUCUGAGUCAAAGGUGAGAAUGAUGGUCUUUUUGUGAGCGAAAUUUCAAUUUAAUCAGAAUUUAAAAUUGUCAAAUUUUCUAUUAGUUUAGUCUGUUUCGAAAUAGAUACCUAAGUCUAAUACAUAUUAAUAUGAAUGGGUAGAUACAUAAAAUUUUUAAGGAUGUAAAGUUUGAGCAAAAAACAUGAUUUUGAGAUAUUCUUAAUUGACUGGCAAUAUAUAAAAACUCAUUUGCAUGAUGUGCAUGUAUAUCGUAAAUUUUGAAAAUUUGACAAAACAAUCAAUCAUUUUUAUCUACCUUGCUAUUGGCUUCAAGCUCACCACAACUCAUCUCAAGUAAUGAAGAAUGUCUGAUCUAUGCAACCUACGACUGGUAGAUAAUUCUAUAAAGCGAAUGAAGGAAAUAGCAAUUAGACAGAAUUCCCAGUACGGGAAAAUCCAACGAAGCACCCAUGAAAAUUGUGGCACUGGCUUUAGGGAUCAGAUACCUACAUAUAUAAUUAUCUUCAUCCACUUUUUUUGAGGGGCGUCGGCGUCUUUUACCGAGAUUGAUAUUCGUUGGUGAUGUUUUCGUAUAAAAAGAAUUAAAAUUUCUUGUAAGAUGUUAUUGUAUACUCGAAUGUUUUUUGAAGUCGAAUCUGUCGAAUAGUUGCGGAGAUACUAUUUUUAAAAUUUUGAAAUUUAAUUUACAGUCAGGAUGAGAAAUAUCGUGCUACUUAUUUGUUGCAUCUCAGCAGUUCUUGCUGGUGACUAUUACGAUCAUGAAUAUUAUCAUCAUUAUCCCCAUUACGAACAUCAUCAUAAACAUCACGAGUAUAAACCACCUCCACCACCUCCUCCACCGCCACCACCACCACCACCGCCGCCGCCGCCACCACCAAAACAUAAACAUUACUACCCACCUCCUCCUCCACCACCCCAAAGCAUCAUUACCAUCAUUACCAUCAUUACAAUCCUCAUCCUCCACCACCACCACAUUUCUACAAACCUCAUCAUUACUAACCAAAAACCACCACACGAGGGUUAAUAAUGAUGGUAAGUAGUGAUCUCAUCGAUUGUAACUUACAUCCCUAUAAUUUUUUUCUUAUGAAUUUAGGUACCUACCUAUAUCUAUGAAAAUUAUUUUUUUUAAUUUACAAUUUAAAAUUAUUUUCUCUUAAGGUAUUUUUUUUACUUGAAAAAAAAUUGCUGAUUUUUUUAUCUGAUAAAUAUUAUGAUUUUUGAUACCUAAUAAUAUAAAUUAUUAAAUCUUAUUUUGAAAUUUAUUUUUUCUAAGCGUACCUAUUAAUUUUUAGAGCAUCGGACUCAUGACUUACAGAUUAAGUAGGUAUGUACCUAUGAAUUGACGUUCAUGUAAGAGAUUUUGCUCAUCUAUUUGUUGUUUAUUAAUUGUUUUCAUUUUCUUCGAUGAUAUUCUCUGGUGAACAGGGCAGGGGGCGGAGGUUUAGAAUUUGAGUAUCGAAGACGCAAGCCUUGUUGAAUAAGUAUAGGCUCAAUACAAAGUAAAUCUUGUCUAUUCGUUUACUUAACUACUUGAUAAGUGUAUUGGUCUUGUACAUUGAGAUAAAAAAAAAUGUUGUGAAUUAUGAAAAAAAAGUAGGCGUUACGACAGCACUUUAUUUCAAUGAUUGAAGUCGAGUACCUACCUAAUCGCAAGCUUACGGCGAAUUGAAAAAAAUCAACGUUCAGACUAAGAUUUGGAAUAUUGAUGACUUGGAAACCCGUUUUGGAAAUCUUGAAAAUAUUUCGGCGAAAAUUCGUUCGAAAUUUCCUAUUUUAUAACGUUACCUACACUACACCUCGUUAUUUGGAAAAAUUGAUUUACAUAACUGCUGGCUAUAAAAUUUGUACCUUGUAAAAAAAAUUCAUGAAGUACCUAGGUACCUAUCUUCAUUAAAAAAAAAAAAAAAAAAAUGGUUGAAUUAUGGGGUCACUUUCACGCGGGUUCACAUAUUUACCUUUUUAGAUUUUUUUCCGUUCAACUUUUAGUCUACCUAUCUGAAUGUUGAACUAUUGGUUGCGAAUUUCUCUAAAAAAUGAUAGGUAUGUAGAGGUACCUGAUUAAAAAACGUGUAAAAACGGGAAAAUGUUCAAAUUUUCUUAAAAGCUAUACUUACGAUUUAUUCAAUUUUUCAGUUUUUCCUAUCCUCAUACCUACCCUAUCAUUUCUUGAAAAUUACCUGCCUAAAAUUGGUAUGUACUUUUCGUUAUUUUUUAGACAAAAAAUUCGAUUUUUUUUAGCCUUUAGUUUUCAAAGAGAAAGAAAAUUCAAAAAAGAAAACUUCAAUCAUUUUUCAAUUUCUAUGCAAACUCGACGUGUAUAAUUGAAGAGUUCUUGAUUUAAAAUCUUUGUCUAUGUUUCAGUUUUUAUUUUUAUUUUUUUUCUUGUAAUAUCUGGUUAGUACCUAGCUAGUAGCUACCUACCUACUUAUUACGUCUUUAAAAGAAAGACUUACUUACUUACAUGUGGUGCUCUCUACAGAUGAACAAGAUGAAUGUACUUCAACUGUGCUUUUCGCAGCACAUUUUUAAAUUUGUGCAGCUAGUUUCGUGAAUGAGAAACAGAUAUCGUUCAGAUGCUCGUACCCAGAUAUACUCUUGGCUUUCAAGCUUAUUUUCAAAGCUCAGUAGGCUUUGUAACAUUGGCGUUAUAAUUUCUUAAACUUUAGUUUGCAAUAAUCCUGGUCUUUUUUGAUCAUUACCGGACCAGAACAUUACCUAGGUACUCAUACGUAGGUCUGAAUGUAAUUUUAAUAUUUUUUCAAUAAAGUGAAUAAAAUAUCGUUGAUAAA